ensembl:lncRNA
GGACUUGACACUGUCCUCUCGGUGCAGGGAUUACAGGGACUCCCACCACUCCUAAUUGAUGUAGUGCUGGGGGUCAAAUGUAGAGUGACCCUUGUGCUAGGUGAGCCCUCCAUGAACUAAGCUACAUUCCAAUGUCCAGAUUUCUGUCAUUGCUACUAAGCAAAGUCCUUCCAUAGCACGUUCCUCCAUCUUUUUGGAUGACUGGAUUCAUCUCUGUGGGUUUUGUGUUUCCUUUUGCAGUUUGGAGGUGGGUCAGCAUGUUCACAUACAUCCUCAAGGCCUCUUGUCAGCCCACUCUAGUCUAGUUUACAGUUUUGGUUUAGCUCAAAUGAGCGGGGAAAGACGUUUGGGGAAGAACGUGCUACCAGGCGAGGACCUGUAUUAGCCCCCAUUUCUAUUGACAAGCCUACUACAGAGACAUACCUCAUGUCUUCUUUCUAAGUCCUUUCAAAGCAACCUUUGAUGUUUUGUUAUGGACUUAACACCAAGAGGCAGAAGUAAGUAAAAGUAAGUGUGGCUGGAAAAGGGGCAAGAGAGAUUGGUUAUGUGAUUGAGUGGGUGGGGCCGACUCUUGGUAUUGAUGUGAGCAGUUCUUGUGUAUCGGCCUUUGAGAUGCCAGGAAAAGUAUUGGAGAGGAUUUUUACCACCGAUUCCCGUUUUCUAAUUGUAAAAUGUCCACAGGCACUGCGCCUAAGAUGCUUUGUGUGGUACAUCUCGUUUGCUUUUUUCUUCACCCCCAAACAUGGUGAUGGAGAAUAUAGUCCUACAAGUUUGGGCCACUGUGUACCAUUGUGUGAUGACACAGCGAUCAAACGAGGGACAGGCUGUCGUUUCCAAGUUUCCCUUCUGCUUAUUUGUAGUAAACUUUGACCUCCAUUCAUUUCAACCUUUGUAACUUUGCUCUCUCUUAUAUGCUGCCUUUUUCAGAAUAUCAUAUACUGAGAAUCGUACCUUUAAUUCUAGCUGCUAGAUGGCUGGGCGUUAAAAUGUCCACAAAGACCUGUUUUGAAAAGCACCUGGAGGAUUUCUCCCACACUUGAUGAAGAUGUAGAACUCUCAGCUCCUCCUGCACUAUGUCUGCCUAGACACUGCCAUGCCUCCUACCUUGACGAUACUGGACUGAACCUCUGAACCUGUAAGUAAGUCCUAAUUAAAUGUUGUCCUUUAUAAGAGUUGUCUUGGUCAUAGUGUCUGUUCACAGUGUUAAAACCCUAAGACACCAACACAAUGAGCACCAGUGAGAAGUUUUGUUGAAUUGAACAAAACUAUGUAUUUUCAUUUAAAU